rnacentral:rRNA from 1 species
UACGGAGGAUGCGAGCGUUAUCCGGAUUUAUUGGGUUUAAAGGGUGCGUAGGUGGAUUGUUAAGUCAGUUGUGGAAGUUUGCGGCUCAACCGUAAAAUUGCAGUUGAAACUGGCAGUCUUGAGUACAGUAGAGGUGGGCGGAAUUCGUGGUGUAGCGGUGAAAUGCUUAGAUAUCACGAAGAACCCCGAUUGCGAAGGCAGCCUGCCGGCCCCACACUGACGCUGAGGCACGAAAGCGUGGGUAUCGAACAGG